rnacentral:rRNA from 1 species
CCUACGGGAGGCAGCAGUGGGGGAUAUUGCACAAUGGGGGAAACCCUGAUGCAGCGACGCCGCGUGAGUGAAGAAGUAUUUCGGUAUGUAAAGCUCUAUCAGCAGGGAAGAAAAUGACAGUACCUGACCAAGAAGCCCCGGCUAACUACGUGCCAGCAGCCGCGGUAAUACGUAGGGGGCAAGCGUUAUCCGGAUUUACUGGGUGUAAAGGGGGCGUAGACGGUGGUGUAAGUCUGGAGUGAAAGCCCGGGGCUCAACCCCGGGACUGCUUUGGAAACUGUGUAGCUGGAGUACUGGAGGGGCAAGCGGAAUUCCUGGUGUAGCGGUGAAAUGCGUAGAUAUCAGGAGGAACACCAGCGGCGAAGGCGGCCUACUGGACUGAAACUGACGUUGAGGCUCGAAAGCGUGGGGAGCAAACAGGAUUAGAUACCCUAGUAGUC